rnacentral:rRNA from 1 species
UUCUAUUAUUAUAAUUAAUAGUAAGGCCUGCUCAAUGUAUUUAAAUAGCCGCAAAUAUUUGUGCUAAGGUAGCAUAAUCACUUGUUUUUUAAUUAAAAACUAGAACAAACGGCUUAACAAUUUAAUUAAUAUCAAAAUUUAUAUCUUAAAAUUAUCUUAAAUGUUAAAAGACAUUUAUUUUAAAGAAAGACGACAAGACCCUAUUGAACUUAACUACAGUUAAACUGGGGCAGUUAAUUAAUUAUAAUUUUAAUUCUUAUUUUUUCUUAAAUAUACCUAAUAUAAUUAAAAUUAUCAAGUUACCAUAGGGAUAACAGCGUAAUAAAUAUUAAUAGUUCUUAUUCAAAUAAUAAUUUGCGACCUCGAUGUUGAAUAAUAACCUAUAUUAAGCAACCUUAAUAAAAGGAAGUCUGUUCGACUUUUAAAAAAUUACA